rnacentral:lncRNA from 1 species
GACCGGCUGAACAAUUUCUGUUCUACUAAAGAUACAUUCUGUUUGAAUUACAAGUCAAAUAAAGAGUCCCAAAUGGUCCAAGGACACAGUUAUCGAAUAUAGUCCCUAGUGUAAACAGUGUAUAACUUGCAUGUUUUAUUUAAUACACUUUCCCAAUUUAUUUCUUGAUAUUAAAUGCAUGAAAUAUUAAGUAGGGGGAUGUAAUUACAUGUUAAAAAAAUUUGGGUGC